UGUAAAUGGACGCUUUACCGCACAAGAAGACACCGACCUCUUCAAGUUUAAGCACAAUGGGUACAUGAACAAUGUGGACGUGGAGGCUUCACUUGAGGAGGAUGGAACCGGAGUGCAAAGAAAAGCUGCAAAAUCCAUUGUUAUCACCGACAUUCUUGCCAAGGUAGAAUUCAUGGAGUCCAGAGCUGCCUUUAAGUUAGGAAUUGACUACAGAGGUCAGAUGGUGCUAAGAGGGCCAGAUGGACUUCCAAUGGUAGGGGAGGAUAUUGAGCUGUAUGUUGAUGAGGAG